AGGGGCGGGGACGCAGCCGGAAGGCUGGAGGUUCCUGGAAGGUGAGGCUGGCUUGCCUUCUUGAUUUAUGUGGCCAAAGGGUAGCAGCCACCUCUGCAAAGGUCCAGUGAAGAGUCCCCUUUCCCCCAAGUAAUGCCGAGAAGAGAGAGGCAGGUGCAGCCAGCGAUGCGGCGGAGUCUCCGCAAGAGAGCGAGGGCCUGGCGUGGGGCGCACACGCACGCGCGUCUUGGGUCCCUGCAGAGAGGUGUCCCCAGUGCUGUGCCCUGUUCGGUGCCGGGAGCGGUGCCACGGGCCCGCCGCCGCCCUAGUAAGGUGUCGGGGCCUUUGCGCGCCUAGCGCCAUGGCCGCGUCGCCGCUCCUCCGCACCUCCCAGGCUCCACGAACACGGCCAGGCAUUUCCAAGUAGAGGGCAGAACCCUCUCCCCAUCUCCCCACUUAGCACCUGGGAGGCCCCGUGGAGGAGGCUAGGACCUCUGGGGGUUCCACACUCUGCUGGUGGUGCUGGCUCCUGGCGGGAGCUUCUGCCCUCACGGGGCGGCCUCCCGGUUCCGCUGUAGGAAAGCCCUGCCCGACGUCUCCUGGAAGGGCCCUCCAUGGUGAGUUAUGGGCUAAAACUACCCUUCUCGAAAUGCGAACAAUCAGAAGGAUCCUCCCGCCCCCCAUCCUUUACUCCCAAAUAAGCUCCACGGACUUUCUCAAACCCAACCCAUUAAUGUAGAAAAAAAAAAAAAUAGAAUUGGUAUCUGAGCUGCAGAGGUGGGAAAGGUGGACUCCAAGCCCCAGGGAAAGAGCUCCUGUUUAGCCGCCAAGCCCUUCCCCACAGGUGACUGGUGGUUUGAACUGAGGGCAGGGACCAGCUGUCCCCUCCCAUGUCCACACUAGCUGGGGCACACCGUCUUCUGUGUUUUCCUGCCUUGGCUCAACACAUAGGCCUCUCCAAAUCCUUCCAACCCGAACAAUGGAAGGGAAGAAGGAAAGGAGGGGCUGAGGAAGGAAACAGACACUGACCAAAGCCCAGAGGUUGGAAACCAUGGCUCUUAAAAGCAGAGAUGAAGAGAAAAGAGUGAGUUCAAAAGACAGAGCAUGAGAAAGACCCCACCCGCUAUUACUGGCUUUGAAGAUGGAGAGAAGAGGCCACAAGCCAAGGAAUGCAGCAGCUUCCAGAAGCAUGAAAGAGCCCUUAGGUUACAGCCAGCAAGGGAAGGAAACUGCGACCCUACAGCCACAAGACUUGACUUCUGCCAACAGCCAGAAGGAGCAGGAAAUACGUUCUCCCUGAGAGCCUCCAGAAAGGAACACAGUCUGCCCACACCUUAAUUUUAGCCUGGGGAGGCCCAUACCAGGUCUCUGCUUUACAGAAUUGUAAGAUAAUAAAUUUGGAGUUUUUUUAAACUACUAAAUUUGUGGUCAUUUGUAAAGGCAGUAACAGAAAAACUAAAACACUUUACUAUCUAUACGUAGAUUUAACUGCUUUUUUUUUUUUUCUUUUUAAGAGAUGGUCUCACUCUGUUGCCCAAGUUGGAGUACAGAGGUGCAAUCAUAUCUCACUGCAGCCUUGAACUCCUGGGCUCAAGCCAUCCUCCCACCUCAGGCUCCUGGAUAACUGGGACUACAGGCACACCACCAUGCCUGGCUAAUUUUUUUUUUCUUUUUUUUUUUUAGAGAUGAGGUCUUGCUAUGUUGCCCAGCUGGUCUCAAAUUCCUAGCUUCAAAUGAUCCUCCCACCUUGGCCUCCCAAAGCUCUGGGAAUGAAGGCAUGAGCCACCAUGCCCAGUCUAGAUUUAACUUUUAAAUACAGUUCUAUUUUUAUAGGGGGGGAAAAUCCCAAAAUAGAAUAACAAGCAGGUUUUCUUUUACUCAGUUAACUAUUCCUAAGAGAAACCUUGAUAUUCUGGAUAUUUGAACCCUGAGACUAAUCCAGGCACCCUUUUCUCCUGGUAGCAGCUUGUGCAAUGAGGU
rnacentral:lncRNA from 1 species